rnacentral:rRNA from 1 species
UACGUAGGGGGCAAGCGUUGUCCGGAAUCAUUGGGCGUAAAGCGCGCGUAGGUGGCCAUGUAAGUCCACUGUGAAAGUCAAAGGCUCAACCUUUGAAAGCCGGUGGAUACUGCAUGGCUAGAGUACGGAAGAGGCGAGUGGAAUUCCUGGUGUAGCGGUGGAAUGCGCAGAUAUCAGGAGGAACACCAAUAGCGAAGGCAGCUCGCUGGGACGUCACUGACACUGAGGCGCGAAAGCGUGGGGAGCGAACAGG